UAACCUGCCCAAGAGAUCGGGAUAACACCUGGAAACAGAUGCUAAUACCGGAUAAUAACAGAUGAUGCCUAUCAACUGUUUAAAAGAUGGUUCUGCUAUCACUCUUGGAUGGACCUGCGGUGCAUUAGCUAGUUGGUAGGGUAACGGCCUACCAAGGCGAUGAUGCAUAGCCGAGUUGAGAGACUGAUCGGCCACAUUGGGACUGAGACACGGCCCAAACUCCUACGGGAGGCAGCAGUG
rnacentral:rRNA from 1 species